GUAUAAGAGACAGCAGCAGCCGCGGUAAUACAGAGGGUGCGAGCGUUAAUCGGAUUUACUGGGCGUAAAGCGUGCGUAGGCGGCUUUUUAAGUCGGAUGUGAAAUCCCUGAGCUUAACUUAGGAAUUGCAUUCGAUACUGGGAAGCUAGAGUAUGGGAGAGGAUGGUAGAAUUCCAGGUGUAGCGGUGAAAUGCGUAGAGAUCUGGAGGAAUACCGAUGGCGAAGGCAGCCAUCUGGCCUAAUACUGACGCUGAGGUACGAAAGCAUGGGGAGCAAACAGGAUUAGAGACCCCUGUAGUCCCUGUCUCUUAUAC
rnacentral:rRNA from 1 species